UGUACGUAACCAUAGAAAUUUAUUUUCCCUCAUUUUAUCUUUUUUUUCUCCUCUUAUUGUUUACUGCAGCUUUAAGAGUUAUAUUUGUGAAUCGGCUUCCUCCCUGUGAUCCUUAAACAAUGCCUGCUCGCUGUAUUGUCCCUUCUUGCACUUCAGGCAACCCCAAAUAUGAAAAACCAGAAGGUCUAAAUUUUCACAGGGAACAAACUACUGAAAAUUAUCAUUUAUUUUAAGUAUCAACGCCUUCAUUACAGAUUUCCUCAUGAUCCCAAUGUGAGAAAAAAUUGGAUUAAAGCAAUCGAUAAAGUGAGAAAAAAUUAGAAAUAUCCAUCUAAUUUAAAAAAGUAGCCGUCAAUUUGCUCACUUCAAUUCCAUUCAAAUUGUUUCAUCACCGAGAGUUGCGAUUCGUUGACUCGGAGGAAGAAGAAAAGGGAGUCUCAAGUAUUUCAACGGCGGAGAUUGAAAAAAGAGUCAAUUCCUAAUGUAUUACAAAAUGCACCUUUCUACCUCAACUAACCUCUUCCUGCAACUCGAGGAAUAAAUAGUCUAUCUCAAAAUAGGAAUGAAACUCUUCAACUCAUGCAUGAGCUUCAGGGGGAGAGUUAUUUUGAUGAUGCCAAAUGUGACUCCCUUUUUGACCUUAAAAAGAAAUUAGAUGAGACAGAACUUGUCGAUGGAUUUAACGUUCUGAUGAGAAAAUGCUCAGAAAAAAUCAUCAUAUUCAAGAUCUCCAACAAUAAUGAUAAAGGGCCACAAGUCUUGAGUUGCUUACUUAUUAAGAAAGACUUGCAAUAUGGAGCUUUUUAUAAUGGUGUAAAGAUCUCUUACUCUCUCUCUUGAAGUGUUACAUCACCAGCCCUAAUUUUACAAAAGUAAAUUCCAUUAAUGAUGUCAGGGACUUAAUUAUUUUCCUCAAAAGAAAAAAGAAAAAUAUAUAUAUAUCUCAACCAAAAUGAUUUGAUGACAUCUGCUCAAAUUUUGCUGGAGAAGGCUGAUAUUUGCAGCAUGGUAAUUAUUGAGAAGAAAAAAGUAAACUUCGCAUGUGAACAAAUCCUUUACGCUUUAUCUAAAAAAACAGUACACAUCAAGGACAUGAUCUAUUGUAACUUCCUUUAAAACUACAAGUUCUGCUGCGUAUAGAUUUCUUCAAAAGGAAAAUUUGUUCACGUUACCACGUCCUAAUCACAUCAGUAAAACGACAAAACAAUAGAUGUUUCUACAGGUUUCACGGAAGUUACAAGAGCUUACCUAUCCAAAAGAAUUGACUCUAUCUAGUAGAGAAAAAAUGUGUAUGCUCAUAACGGAUGAAGUUUAUACUGCAAUACUGCAAAGCAAGUACAAUUUCACAAAAUGACAAAGUGACAAUACCUGUAGUGUGUUCAUGCUUUUUUUAGUGUUAGUUGAUCAUAUGAGGAUACAAUUCAAAUAAAACUAUCUCAUGCAGAGUCAUUCUGAUAUUACCAAAGAUUUGAACUUUUUAACUAAAGAAGUCGCCAAAUUGGGAUAUGAAGAGAUCGGUUGUGGAGCAGACAAUCACGCUUCGAAUAGACGGGCUAUUAAGCAAGACUUGUGCCAAGGAGAGUUCUAACAGUCCAUUUCAAAUCCAGUUGAUCCAGAAAACCCAUUUUCCCCUAUGUUUGAUGGAUCUCAUAUUUAUUAAUGUAUAAGAAACAAUUGGAAAAAGAAACAAUUUUUGAAUGUCCAGAUUUCGAUGGUGAACAAAUCGGUUCUCCCAAUUGGAUUCAUAUUUUGGAACUGUAUCGGAUCAAUUCUCUAAAUAAUCCGAGGAUGGCACAUCGUUUGAAUGAAAAAGCCCUCAAUUCAACAUUAAAUGAAAAAACAAAUGCGAAACUUUGUGACAUCAUAUUUCAUGACAGUACAAUAAGUGGCAUGCAGUAUUAUUAUGAAAAAUGCCAUCAUGAAUUUAAAUCUACUCUUAAUUUCUUAAAAAUCAUAAGUAAGUGGUGGAAUAUUAUAAAUGUUAGGAGCUCCAGAUCUGGAAAACGCCACAAAGACUGGACUCGAGAGGCUUUCACAUCAACAGACUGUGAACAGCUCAAAUUUCUCAGAAAAUUUGUAUAAUGGAUUCAAUUCUGGUUUGGGGAGUCCAAGAAAAAAAAAAUUAAAAAUAUCUUCGACUAAAUGAACAUUUGAGGCAA
rnacentral:lncRNA from 1 species